AACCCCCCCGGUCGGAUUAGACAACACUCCGUCUGUCAGGGAAGUCGGUCGGGACUUUAAAACAUUGGAAAACAUGAAGUAAAAACUUUCUGAAGCUGAAGAAAGUAACGUGAUUUCCUGGGAGGACUAGUCCGGCCAACAGCCGAAGACUCCUGCAGCCUGUGGAUAAAAUGCGUUUCAUUAUAUGACCGUUUUGUUGCCGCUGUCAGCAUGGCAGGUAUUUUAACGUGUUUGAAGCGGGGACUGAAGGUUGACGUGCUGAGGGAAGCUGGCCGUCAGUAUCCAGUCUUCUGCUUCCUGCUGCUGUCUAUGCUCUCUCUCACCGUGCUGCUCAACAGGUAUAUCCACAUCCUGAUGGUCUUCUGGUCGUUUCUGGCCGGUGUCGUCACUUUCUACUGCUCCCUCGGACCAGAGUCCCUUCUACCAAAUAUCCUCUUCACCAUAAAGCCAAGGAACACACAGCGGCAGGAGCAGGAGUUGUUUCCUCUGGGCCACAGCUGUGCCGUGUGUGGAAAGGUCAAGUGCAAACGUCACCGGCCGACCCUGCUGCUUGAAAACUAUCAGCCAUGGUUGGACCUGAAGGUUCAUUCAAAGGUGGACGCUUCAAUAGCAGAGGUGUUCGAGUUAGUUCUGGAGAACUUUGUGUUCCCCUGGUACAGGGACAUCACAGAUGACGAGGCGUGCGUGGACGAACUGAGGAUGACCUUUCGCUUCUUCGCAUCAGUGCUCAUCCGCCGGGUUCAGAAGGUCGAUGUUCCUGCCGUGUUUGCUGACAAAGUGAUGAAAGCUGCGAUGAAGCAUAUUGAAAUUAUUGCAAAAGCUCGAGAUAAAGUGAAGAACGUGGAGGCUUUACAACAGGCAGCUCUGGAUGAAUACGGCAUCGACCUCCACGUCGCUCUGCACAGCCGAAAAGACGAACUGCUCUACCUGAGGAAGCUGACCGAGAUGCUGUUUCCCUACGUCAUGCCUCCCAAAGCAACAGACUGCAGGUCUCUGGCUCUGCUGCUGCGGGAGGUGAUGGCUGGAUCGGUCAUAUUACCCACCAUGGAUUUCAUGGCUGACCCUGACACUGUGAACCUCCUGGUGCUGCUCUUUGUUGAUAAUAGUCCACCUGAACCAGCCACAGAGCCUCCGUCUACCCUGGUUCCAUUUUUACAGAGAUAUGCAGACAUCAGCAACAAGAAGUCGUCUGUGCUGAAGUUGGAGCUGAAGGAGAUCAGGGAAGAGCAGGAUCUCCUUUUUCGUUUCAUGAACUUCCUGAAACAGGAAGGAGCCGUGAACGUGCUGCAGUUCUGCCUCACCGUUGAGGAAUUCAACGAUAAGAUCCUGAGUCCGGAGCUGAGCGACUCUGAGCUGCAGCGUCUGCACGGCGAGGUGCUGGACAUGUACGAGACCUACUGCCUGGACGAAAGCAUCGACAAGAUCAGCUUCGACAAGUUCAUCGUGGAGGAGAUAAGGAACAUCGCUAAAGGUCCGUACGCCGACGUGGUGAAGCUGCAGACGAUGCCCUGCAUGUUUGAGGCGUACGAACACGUCCUGUCUCUGCUGGAGAAAGUCUUCACCCCGAUGUUCUGUCACAGCGACGAAUACUUCAGACACCUGCUGAGAGGCGCCGAGUCUCCAACGAGGAACUCAAGAAUUAACAGAAACGCGUCAAAACGAGGCGAGUCGUUCGGGAUCAGCAGGAUUGGCAGCAAAAUCAAAGGUGUGUUCAAGAGCACGACCAUGGAGGGAGCCAUGCUGCCACCCAGCGCCAUGAACGACUUCGGCGAGGAUUUGGUGGAGGAGGCGACUGUCGUGAUGGAGGACGACUGCCCCGCCGAGCCGGCCAGCACACCGGGCGCCCUGAGGAACCUGUCGGCCUGGAGCAUCACCAUCCCUUACAUCGACAUCUACGACGACGAGGCCAAGAGGGAGAAGAUCCCCGUCUUCUGCAUCGACGUGGAACGCAACGACAGGAAGGAAGCUGGUCAUGAAACUGAAAAGUGGUCUGUCUACAGAAGAUAUCUGGAGUUCUACGUACUAGAAUCCAAACUCACCGAAUUCCACGGCACAUUUGCAGAUGCGCAGCUUCCAUCCAAAAGAAUUAUUGGACCAAAGAAUUACGAGUUCCUCACAUCAAAAAGAGAAGAAUUUGAGGAAUAUUUACAGCUGCUGGUUUGUGUGCAGAGACUCCUGCGGCAUCCAGAGCUCAGUAACAGUCAGCUGCUGGCAGACUUCCUGUCUCCGUACAGCAUGGAGUCUCAGUUCCUGGACAGGAUGCUGCCUGAUGUCAACCUGGGAAAGAUUUUCAAGUCUGUACCAGGGAAGCUGAUGAAAGAGAAAGGACAGAACCUGGAGCCUUUCAUCCAGUCCUUCAUCAACUCCUGCGAGUCGCCAAAACCCAAACCCAGCAGACCCGAGCUGACCAUCCUCAGCCCCUCAACCGAGAACAACAAGCGGCUCUUCAGCGACCUGUUCAAGAACAACGCAAACCUGGCAGAGAGUCUGGAGUGGAGAAGCAACCACAACUGCUUCAUGGAUAUGGUCCCUGUUGACGGCAUGUAUGACUACAUGAUGUACGUCGGUCGUGUGGCGUUCCACAUACCGGACUGGUUGCACCACAUCCUGGCCGCGGGGAGGAUCCUGUUCAAGAACACCUUCGAAGCCUACAUGGACCAGUACAUGCUGUCUAAACUGGAGCAGAUCCUCCAGGAGCACCACCUGGUCUCCCUCAUCACACAGCUCAGAGACGCCGUCUUCUGUGAGAGCAGCGUACAGCGAACCACAGAGGACAAACAAGUCAGAGCCAAGAAGACCUUUGAGGAGAUGAUGAAGUAUUUACCAGACUUUGUGGGAAAGUGCAUCGGCGAGGAGGCAAAAUACGAAGGCAUCCGGCUCCUCUUUGAAGUAUUCCAGCAGCCGCUCCUCAACAAGCAGAUGACGUACGUCCUGCUGGACAUCGCCGUGCAGGAGCUUUUCCCUGAACUCUGCAAGGGUGGUGGUUCCGGGGACUUGGGAUCUCACAGAAUCUCACGUGAUCACAAGGGACUUCAGACGUAAACAAACAUGGAGGCAGACUGUUGUCGUCAGCUGGUUGAAAACAAACCAACGAAAGAGAAUCCUACUGGAUGAACUCGAGGCUGAGAAGGUGAAGUCGGCAGGCAUUUUAUAGAGCAGAUGCACAACACGCCGGGGACGCUUCCUCAUUGGCCGCUCCGGGUUUCCGGGAUCAUUUGGGCUGAUAAUCUGUUCCGACCAGCCUCGGCUCAGGAACCACCCUGUGAUUGUCUGGAGGACAAAUUGGACCAAAAAAUCAUCCCAACUCUCCUCUAAUCAGGGAGUGAAGGAGCCGAUGGUCGUGUGACGCAGACGAUGUACCCAACACUGGAUACUCCAACGUCCCGGGUUUAUAGAAGAGCAGUACUGAACUAUUUCAACACCUCUGGGAUCAUUUUUACAUUCCAAUGUAUUUUAAUGCACUAAUAAAAAGAUAUAUAUUUAUUGAUGUCCCUACA